rnacentral:lncRNA from 1 species
AUUGGUGGUCCCUGGGGCGGCGACUCGUCUCUCUACGGGAAGCAGCAUGCUGGGAGAUGUAGUUCCGGGUUCAGUUGCCAUGGCGUUCGUCACAGCCUCCCCCAGAUCGGUCAUCCUGCGGUAGUGACGGGCAGUCUGACCAAUGGCAGUACUGUUUGGACCCAAGAAGGCGGGCUCUCUGCAGAAGGACUGGGAAGGUGGCGGCGGCGAAGGCGCUGGCGGUUGAGGUUGCUCCGAGCCAGGUGAGCCAGGGAAGAACGAUGUGUGUCUCUGAAAUGGGACUUUGGGCGAAAAAUGGAGAAACGCCUGAAGGAGCUGUCUAACCCUGGGGAGACUGGUACUUCGCAUCACACGCCGACCUCAGAGAUGCCCUGGCUCAGGCCUAGCUUGGCCGAGGCCGCCGAGGGGCGGGUAAUACUAGAUUUGACGGACAGUUCCUGACCCUGGCUAGGUUUUGAUUGUAGACUGAUCUUUGCUUCUUCCUCCGCGUUUAUGGAGGCAAAGGUCUAGAACUGCCUUUCUCCUGGGUUGAGUCCUCCCCGCCCCCAGCUUCUCCCUAUCACUGUUUCUGAUGCUGUCUCUAUUACUACUUCCCUUGUCACCCUUCUUAUCCUUCUCUUUGCAUUUCCAGUAAGCGGUUUCCUAAAGCAAACAAGGGUGGGUGUUCGCAGUAAUGGGGCCUUGGGUCAGGAAUUGCCUGCUUCAUUGAGCCGGCCAUACUUGAGCCAUACUAAAGAAUUAUCCCAGGGUCGUGAGGAGGUGCAGAUACUGAUUCUGGAUUUGGGCCUGGUGGUCUGCAUUUGCUUUUUAAAAAUUAUAUAUAUAUAUCUAUAUAUGGCAUUUUAAACAAACUGCCAAGUAUAGCCAGUCCACAGUAGCUGAGUUUUGCAUUGCCUGUCCAGGACAGAUGUUCUAGGCACCCAGACGCUUUUAGAUUUCCUGGGAGCCACAUUUGGACAGUGAAGAGACCACGUGAAAUUAAUUUUACGUUUCUCUUAAACCAGCUUAUCCAAAUAUUAUUUCAACCUUUAAAGAAAUCAGAUAUUUAAAUGAGACAGUGUAUCUGUUGUGCGUUUUACCCUCGCAGCAUACCCUCGUACCCUCAUCCUAAGGGCACGCCACUCACGUGCGGAGUAGCCACCUGUGGCUAUUCGCCGCUCUCCGAAUCCAGAUGAUGCAAGAGACCAUUGCACAAACUCAGCAGUGUUAGUCAUGUGAUUGCCAGCGACAUCCCUUUGCUGCUUCAGUACAUGGGUUCAGAACUACUUUCACAAUACGAUACUGAGCUUACAAGAAUACCAGGGAAAGUAAUAUUUAUUAAAAAGCCAACUUCCGUAAUGUGUGCGCUGUGUACUAUACUCACUCAGUCCUUGCAGCAGCCUGCGUCCUAUUGCGGGGUCCUGUCUCUUGGGAGUUGUAAAUCUUAGGCAUCAGCCACUGCAAUGUACAAUUAUUACUGGCUUUUCUAAUUAAUGUCACCCACGCUUCUGUCUCCACAUGUAGAAGGAGAUGAGGUGUUCAUAUUUGAAACAGUGCUCCCCGUGUAAAAUCAAGCCGCCCAAGGCUGGAGAGCUGGCUCAGGGUAGGGACACUUGGUACUCUCCCAGAGGACCAGGGCUCGCCACUGUAACCACCUCUGUUACACUAGUUCCAGCGGAUCUGAAGCCCUCUCGUGAUCCAACGGCACAGGGCACACAGGCAGGGUGCAGACACAGAUCCAGCUGCCUGGCCUGGCGUGGUGGUGGCCCAUGCCUUUGACUAGUGCUUGAGAUGCAGGGGCAGGCAGAUCUCUGUGAGUUCAAGGCCACCAUGGUUUACAGAGCAAGUUCCACGGCUUCAUAGAGAGACCCCACCUCAAAGAAACCAAGAUAAAGCUGCCUGGCAUCUGUGGUAAAAUAAUUGUGGUAAUUUUAUAGUUCUCCAUGCUGCUCCAUGUUAAGAAGAAAGGUGCAAACCUGAUGGAGAUUCCUGAGCCUCUGGACCAGAAAGAGUCCUGAUUCACUUGUGUGCCUCCCUCAAGGAGGAGGCUGGGAAAAGCUUGAGAACUCGGAAAAUGACAUGGUUCAUUCCAAGAACACAUGGGCAUUCCCCCUAGUGGUGCAGGCCUGGACUCCCAUCCAGUGGAUGGGCAGUUCAGGGCCAGCCUAGACAACUUAGUGAGACUGCCUCAAAGU